GGCUCAGGCAGCCGCCGAACGUGCCCGUGGGCCCGGCCUGCCAUCCUGCCGCGCUUCUCCCGAGACCUCGGCGCCGCGGCUUCUAGUCCUGGCCGACCGCGGCGCUCCCGGGAGCCGGGCGUCCAGCGUGGCUCGGACGCGGGCCCGGGCCGCGGGGUCAGGGCGCCCUCAGCCGGGUCAGGAAUGGGAGGCAACCCAGCGCUCCAGUCUUUCUGCGUAGGCCACCGACUUCCCCGGGAUCUGAGCAGCUCCCAGCGGACACCGAAAACCCCGGGGACGCCUGGCCCGAGCACUCCAGGCCGCUCGAGAGGUGGCUAACAGCUGGGUCGCCUGGCAGGAGGCUCUGCGCGCGGGGACAUUUCAGGCCCGGGGCCUCGCCGGGAGCGCGCCACAAGGAGCGGCGGGGGGCUGGUCUGCUGCCCGCUUGGCACGCUCCCUACUUUCACCCCGCCUUUGUAAACUUGCUCUGUGGCAUUGAAACCACAGGUGCAGGACCGUGGGCACAGAGAAAGCCAGGCAUGCCCCUUCUUCCCACCCUCCGGACGCCCACCCAGACACCGCCUUCCCCGCCCCCCGCGGCGUCCCCGUCCGCCCCUCGGCGCGCUGAGCUCCCCACCCGCCGCUUGCGUCCUGCUCCGUUUACAGCAGUAAACACUGGGCAGCGGCCCCUGCGUGGAAGGGGGUUGUUCGGAAGUCGUUUAAAGACAGUGUCACCCUCAGGGUAAAUGCCCAGAAGCCGGGCCGCGCAUCCUUGGGCUGAGAAGUGUGGGAACGCCCGAGACCAAGCGAGACUCAGGCCGGAGUUUGGCUGCGGGUCAGGCUCAGGGUCUCGGGAGAAGAAGCCGUCAGACACGGCAGGGCUUAAACCUUCUAGAAAGCAUAUAUAUCCAUCCACUCCUUCUCCAGGAGCAGGGAGUACCACCCGGGCGGUGGCCCAGCGGCGAGGCCGCUCCCGGCGCCGCGCCUGGCUGACCGCUGCGGACGUUUCCUGUCCCGCCGCCCAAAUCUCGCGCUCCCGAGGUAACUAGAGAGGGAACGGAGGGCCCAGAGGCUGCGGAGGUGUGAAGGGACAGCCUGAGGCCAGCGCCUCGGGCGUGUUCUCCUGGCUGGCCUGGAGAACUGCUUUUAUUUAUAAAUCUCUAGGAGUUGAAAUAAAAUUAAACGAAGAGAAAAUAAUAAAUUUUUCAGAAUUAUGUUCUGAAAUGAAAUAAACAAAAACGCGGGAAGAAUCCUCUAGCUCACUAUGGCUGGCAGAACCCGGGCUCUCUUGCGCCGGCUCAGGCAGCCUCUCCCGGCUUAAGCGAGUCUCUGCAGGUUGGCGCUGGCCGCAGCCCCUUGCAUAAGGAGCCCUGUGCCCUCCCUCCGUCCCAUUCUUCCCUGUCCUGGGGGUGGGGUGGGGGUGCAAGAAGGAGGCAGGCUGUGGCAUCCUGUCUGAAAGCAAGGCAGUUUGCCUGGAAGAUGGAGAUUCUCACCUUCCCUGAAAGGAGGAAACGUUCCCAUUUCCACACCCCUCUCUCUGUGCAUAAAAGGGGGCGGAGGGCACUAGCCAAACUGGCCCCCUAGACCUAAAGGGACCUGAGACAUAGACGCAGAGAGAAAAGAGAACAUCUUUGGCAGAAAGGCUGCCCUGCCACGUUGAAUCCAUUAAAAAUUGCCUAGUGCAAUUUUUGUACUACACACUUGUUUGCUUUAUUCAUCAAUUUUUAUGGGAAUGGGAGGCGAGCACGAGA
rnacentral:lncRNA from 1 species